ACUGGAAAAAAUUGAGAGCAGCCACAACAGAGGGUUAAUGUCCUUAAUGUAUAAAGCUUUCUUAUCAAUCACUUUAAAGAACUCUUCUGUCAUAAGCAAAUACCAUGAACAGAAAGUCACAGGUAAAAUACAGAUGACCAGUAAAUAUGUGACUCUUUUUAAAAUUACAAGGAAUCAAAGAAGCACAAAGCUUCGAGACUCCAUUUUUUAUUUACCAAAUUGGCAAAGUUGAAACUAAUGCUGUGUUCCUGCCUUGGUAGAGGUGAGGAAGCCUGUGUCAUGCAUUGCUGGUGGAAAUGCAAAGUGGCUUUCUUUUCCAGAAAGAAAUUUGCCAUUGUGUUUUAAGACCCACUUCAAUGUCGGGGAGGAGGGAUAAACUGGGAGUCUGGGAUUGACAUAUACACAGUACUAUAUUUAAAAUAGAUAAGCAACAAGGACCUACUGUAUAGCACAGGGAACUCUGCUCAAUAUUCUGUAAUAACCAAAUGGGGAAAGAAUUUGAAAAAGAAUAGAUAUACGUAUAUGUAUAAUCACUGCUGGUACACCUGAAACUGACACAACAUUGUAAGUCAACUAUAGUCCAAUAUAAAAUAAAGAUUUAAAAAAAAAAGGAACCACUUCAAAAGUCUUAGCCCUAAUUCUCUGUCCACCACCUGACUGCAGUCUUUUACUCUCAGAUUUCUCUCCCAUCCAGUUCCUCCUGCCCUGUAUGAAGUCCCCUUCCUCCUCCGACCUAAGUCCGUAAAGCCUCUCUAUGACAUCACUUUCAGAACUCUGUCCAGCUGGCCUUUUCUUUUCACCUGUUCUGCAGAAUAUGAGCCUGACUCCUUUAUCUUCUUGGCGUCUUCACUCUGAUACCUGGGAUGCAGGGUGUGACCUAGAAAGAUCAUCCAAUUAUGCAAGUUAGGGCUGCCAAAAGUUUAUGGCCUCCAAGCUCAGCUGGGCUUUUAAUACUGCAUUCCAAUCCUUGGCUGAGUUUCCCAUACCAUUUUCCAAAGUGCCUUCGCCUGACUUUUACUUUUCUCAAACCUACUCCACCCUGCUCCAGACACACCCACUCUCCUCAGAUGACAUGCCUCCUAAUUUCGAGAGAAAACUGGAUGCUGCCCCCAGUUCUCGGCCCCUGAUGCUCAAGCAUAUCAUCUUCGUGCUCAUCCUUGCUUCCCCUCUGUCUCCUUCCAGGGGGCUUUCCUUCACACUGGUCUUCCUCUGUCUGCUCUGCAUUUUCAGCCUCACUCUCUCCACUGGCUCUUUCUUCUCAGCUGCUAACUGUGCUCAGGUUUUUCUGAGAAAGCUUUGCCUCUGCCUCUCCCACCUCCGCCCUGCAUCUUGGCUUCCAGUAACCGUUCUCCUCCUACUUUCCUGUCCUCUCUGCCACUGUUUGCAUUUUUAACCAGUCACUCUACCUUUCUUCACUGCCAGCUUCUUCUCUGCCCUCCCAGGGGACUCCUCUUCUGUUCCCUGCUUUGGCUCCUCUUCCACUGUGUUCACAAGUCUUCUGUCCUCAGCCUCCAUCUUCUCUGCAGGAUCUGCAUUCCAAAUGAACUCCCCCAAAUCCAUGUUUGCUGCUUCUCUUUACAGGAUGCUCUGAAUUUCCCAUCCAGACGCCUCUUCUGUGCUUCAGAACCAUACAUCAAAAAACACAAAGGACGGUUCCACCUGAACAUUCAACAGAUCCGUUAAACUCAGCAUUUCUGGAGCUGCCCCAAUUCACCUGACCUUCAGAUCCUCCCAAAUCUCUUUUCUAGUGGAGGAAGUGGAGCCUCCUGUUGGCUGCUUGCCAGGCGACAGCACUGGGAUUCAAAGUCAGCAAAGGAAAUCAUAAACAAAAUGAAAAAGACAACCCUCAGAAUGGGAGAAAAUAUUCGCAAAUGAAUCAACGGACAAAGGAUUGAUCUCCAAAAUAUAUAAACAGCUCAUGCAGCUCAAUAGUAAAGAAAGAAACAACCCAAUCCAAAAAUGGGCAGAAGACCUAAAUAGACAUUUCUCCAAAGAAGACAUACCGAUGGCCAAGAA